UAAUACGGAGGGUGCAAGCGUUGUUCGGAAUUACUGGGCGUAAAGCGCGUGUAGGCGGCUACCUAAGUCUGAUGUGAAAGCCCGAGGCUUACCCUCGGAAGCGCAUUGGAAACUGGGUAGCUCGAGUAUCGGAGAGGAGGGUGGAAUUCCUGGUGUAGCGGUGAAAUGCGUAGAUAUCAGGAAGAACACCGGUGGCGAAGGCGGCCCUCUGGACGAAUACUGACGCUGAGACGCGAAAGCGUGGGGAGCAAACAGGAUUAGAUACCCUGGUAGUCCACGCUGUAAACGAUGGGCACUAGGUGUUCAGGGUAUUAACCCCCUGGGUGCCGUCGCUAACGCAUUAAGUGCCCCGCCUGGGGAUUACGGCCGCAAGGUUA
rnacentral:rRNA from 1 species